rnacentral:tRNA from 1 species
GCAUCGGUGGUUCAGUGGUAGAAUCCUCGCCUGCCACGCGGGUGGCCCGGGUUCGAUUCCCGGCCAAUGCA